rnacentral:misc_RNA from 1 species
GAUGAAGAACGCAGCGAAAUGCGAUAAGUAAUGUGAAUUGCAGAAUUCAGUGAAUCAUCGAAUCUUUGAACGCACAUUGCGCCAGCCAGCAGUCUGGCGGGCAUGCCUGUUCGAGCGUCAUUUCAACCAUCAAGCCCCCAGGGGCUUGUGCUGGGGCCCUGCGGCUGCCCGCAGGCCCUGAAAACCAGUGGCGGGCUCGCUAGUCACACCGAGCGCAGUAGCACAUCUCGCUCAGGGCGUGCGGCGGGCUCCUGCCGUGAAACCCCCCACUGUAACCCCAAAGGUUGACCUCGGAUCAGGUAGGAAUACCCGCUGAACUUAAGCAUAUCAAAAGCGGAGGA